ACUUAAAUAGUUUAAGAAAAAUGCUGAUUUGUGGCGUCAGAGUUAUAGUGUAUAUUUUAAGUU
rnacentral:tRNA from 1 species